AUUGCCAGACAGCCACUAGAGGGCUUCCUGAAUCGAAACAAAAUGCUUUCCUAUAGGGAGGUCUAAUGCAUGCACCACAGUUGCCGCUUCUCGCUGGACAUAGGAAAAGGCGGAGCAUCGGCGAUGGGAUAAGAUGUGUAAAUAAAGGCCUUUUCACCAUUUAAUCACCCAGGCAGGAGGAGGGGGGAGCCAUAUUGCCAGGAAUAAAGCUUUGACAUGAAAAUUUGUGGCCAAAGGGAAUAAGGUAGCACAAGGUAUGAGGC